GACGAACGCUGGCGGCGUGCUUAACACAUGCAAGUCGAACGGAAAGGCCCUGCUUUUGUGGGGUGCUCGAGUGGCGAACGGGUGAGUAACACGUGAGUAACCUGCCCUUGACUUUGGGAUAACUUCAGGAAACUGGGGCUAAUACCGGAUAGGAGCUCCUGCUGCAUGGUGGGGGUUGGAAAGUUUCGGCGGUUGGGGAUGGACUCGCGGCUUAUCAGCUUGUUGGUGGGGUAGUGGCUUACCAAGGCUUUGACGGGUAGCCGGCCUGAGAGGGUGACCGGCCACAUUGGGACUGAGAUACGGCCCAGACUCCUACGGGAGGCAGCAGUGGGGAAUAUUGCACAAUGGACGGAAGCCUGAUGCAGCAACGCCGCGUGCGGGAUGACGGCAUUCGGGUUGUAAACCGCUUUCGCCUGUGACGAAGCGUGAGUGACGGUAAUGGGUAAAGAAGCACCGGCUAACUACGUG
rnacentral:rRNA from 1 species